rnacentral:rRNA from 1 species
UGGGGAAUAUUGCACAAUGGGGGAAACCCUGAUGCAGCGACGCCGCGUGAACGAAGAAGGUAUUCGUAUCGUAAAGUUCUGUCCUAUGGGAAGAUAAUGACAGUACCAUAGAAGAAAGCUCCGGCUAAAUACGUGCCAGCAGCCGCGGUAAUACGUAUGGAGCGAGCGUUGUCCGGAAUUAUUGGGCGUAAAGCGAGCGCAGGCGGUUAGAUAAGUCUGAAGUUAAAGGCAGUGGCUCAACCAUUGUAGGCUUUGGAAACUGUUUAACUUGAGUGCAGAAGGGGAGAGUGGAAUUCCAUGUGUAGCGGUGAAAUGCGUAGAUAUAUGGAGGAACACCGGUGGCGAAAGCGGCUCUCUGGUCUGUAACUGACGCUGAGGCUCGAAAGCGUGGGGAGCGAACAGG